rnacentral:rRNA from 1 species
AUUGAACGCUGGCGGCAUGCCUUACACAUGCAAGUCGAACGGCAGCACGGAGCUUGCUCUGGUGGCGAGUGGCGAACGGGUGAGUAAUAUAUCGGAACGUACCCUAGAGUGGGGGAUAACGUAGCGAAAGUUACGCUAAUACCGCAUACGAUCUAAGGAUGAAAGUGGGGGAUCGCAAGACCUCAUGCUCGUGGAGCGGCCGAUAUCUGAUUAGCUAGUUGGUAGGGUAAAAGCCUACCAAGGCAUCGAUCAGUAGCUGGUCUGAGAGGACGACCAGCCACACUGGAACUGAGACACGGUCCAGACUCCUACGGGAGGCAGCAGUGGGGAAUUUUGGACAAUGGGCGAAAGCCUGAUCCAGCAAUGCCGCGUGAGUGAAGAAGGCCUUCGGGUUGUAAAGCUCUUUUGUCAGGGAAGAAACGGUGAGAGCUAAUAUCUCUUGCUAAUGACGGUACCUGAAGAAUAAGCACCGGCUAACUACGUGCCAGCAGCCGCGGUAAUACGUAGGGUGCAAGCGUUAAUCGGAAUUACUGGGCGUAAAGCGUGCGCAGGCGGUUUUGUAAGUCUGAUGUGAAAUCCCCGGGCUCAACCUGGGAAUUGCAUUGGAGACUGCAAGGCUAGAAUCUGGCAGAGGGGGGUAGAAUUCCACGUGUAGCAGUGAAAUGCGUAGAUAUGUGGAGGAACACCGAUGGCGAAGGCAGCCCCCUGGGUCAAGAUUGACGCUCAUGCACGAAAGCGUGGGGAGCAAACAGGAUUAGAUACCCUGGUAGUCCACGCCCUAAACGAUGUCUACUAGUUGUCGGGUCUUAAUUGACUUGGUAACGCAGCUAACGCGUGAAGUAGACCGCCUGGGGAGUACGGUCGCAAGAUUAAAACUCAAAGGAAUUGACGGGGACCCGCACAAGCGGUGGAUGAUGUGGAUUAAUUCGAUGCAACGCGAAAAACCUUACCUACCCUUGACAUGGCUGGAAUCCUUGAGAGAUCAGGGAGUGCUCGAAAGAGAACCAGUACACAGGUGCUGCAUGGCUGUCGUCAGCUCGUGUCGUGAGAUGUUGGGUUAAGUCCCGCAACGAGCGCAACCCUUGUCAUUAGUUGCUACGAAAGGGCACUCUAAUGAGACUGCCGGUGACAAACCGGAGGAAGGUGGGGAUGACGUCAAGUCCUCAUGGCCCUUAUGGGUAGGGCUUCACACGUCAUACAAUGGUACAUACAGAGCGCCGCCAACCCGCGAGGGGGAGCUAAUCGCAGAAAGUGUAUCGUAGUCCGGAUUGUAGUCUGCAACUCGACUGCAUGAAGUUGGAAUCGCUAGUAAUCGCGGAUCAGCAUGUCGCGGUGAAUAAGAUCCCGGGUCU